UCAUCUGUGUUUUCCUUGUUACUGUAUUAACAGGGGUCCAGUGUGAAGUGCAGCUGGUGGAGUCUGGGGGAGGCUUGGUGAAGCCUGGGGGGUCUCUGAGACUCUCCUGUGCAACCUCUGGAUUCACCAUCAGUAGCUACUAUAUGCACUGGGUCCGCCAGGCUCCAGGGAAGGGGCUGGAAUGGAUCUCAGCAAUUGCUGGUAGAAGCACAUACUAUGCCAACUCUGUGAAGGGCCGAUUCUCCAUCUCCACAGACAAUG